rnacentral:rRNA from 1 species
CCUACGGGGUGCAGCAGUCGGGAAUAUUGCGCAAUGGAGGAAACUCUGACGCAGUGACGCCGCGUGUAGGAAGAAGGUUUUCGGAUUGUAAACUGCUUUAGAUAGGGAAGAAAAAAAUGACAGUACCUAUAGAAUAAGCUCCGGCUAACUACGUGCCAGCAGCCGCGGUAAUACGUAGGGAGCGAGCGUUAUCCGGAUUUAUUGGGUGUAAAGGGUGCGUAGAUGGAUAAACAAGUUGGUUGUGAAAUCCCUCGGCUUAACUGAGGAAUUGCAACCAAAACUGUAGAUCUUGAGUACUGGAGGGGAAAGCGGAAUUCCAUGUGUAGCGGUGAAAUGCGUAGAUAUAUGGAGGAACACCGGUGGCGAAAGCGGCUCUCUGGUCUGUAACUGACGCUGAGGCUCGAAAGCGUGGGGAGCGAACAGGAUUAGAUACCCCAGUAGUC